UGUGUGUGUGUGUAUGUGUGUGUAUAUGUGUAUUUUUAAUAAUUUUACCAAUUAAGAUGCAAUGGUAGGACUUAUCAUAUGUCAAGUUUAGAUUAAUAAUAAAUAUGUUAAAAAAAAUUACACAUGCAUAGAAUCCAUAUUCUAAAAUUUUAAUUUUCUUAUGUAAAAAGUCAAAAAGUUAAAAUCAAAAUUAAUGUGGCUUUAUCUUCCAAAAUAAUAUCUUAAAGAACAAAGUAUUUAUACUAUUAGAAUUAUAAACCUCAAAAAUAAGAAGAUAGAUCAAGUAAAAAUUGAAAAAUAAGGAUGUCAAAAAAAAAUAGAAUACUUGUUAUAUCUCUACUUGUAAAUCAUAAGUUUUAAAUCUUAAACCUUCAAAAACUACAAAUAACUUGAAUUCAAUUAAAUUUAGUUUUAGCACCCUCCUAUAUUAAAAGUAGUCAAAGAUGUGAGGUUGUUCAAUUCAUUUAGUAGUGAUAUUAAGUUGGAUUAUUUUCUUAUAUCAAAAGUAGUUUAAGCUGUAAGGUUGUUCAUUUCACAUGGUAAUGAUGUCAAGCUUGAGCAAUUAUCUAUUCUUAACAAAGUAGAU
rnacentral:lncRNA from 1 species